UCUCUGGUGGUUCAGUGGUUCAGACUUGGCACUUUCACUGCUAUGGGCCUGGGUUCAAUCCCUAUUGGAGAG
rnacentral:tRNA from 1 species